GACUUAAUACUUUAAAUUAAAAGAUCUGAUUUGCAUUCAGGCAAUAAGUUGUUAAACUUUUAGGUCA
rnacentral:tRNA from 1 species